rnacentral:rRNA from 1 species
UACGAAGGGGGCUAGCGUUGCUCGGAAUUACUGGGCGUAAAGGGCGCGUAGGCGGAUGUCUUAGUCAGAUGUGAAAGCCCAGGGCUCAACCUUGGAACUGCCUUUGAUACUGGACAUCUUGAGUACGGGAGAGGUGAGUGGAACUCCGAGUGUAGAGGUGAAAUUCGUAGAUAUUCGGAAGAACACCAGUGGCGAAGGCGACUCACUGGCCCGUUACUGACGCUGAGGCGCGAAAGCGUGGGGAGCAAACAGG